GUAUUGAUUCCUGGUAUGACUGACGAAUAAAUGAGUAUUAUAUUGCCGCCCUCUUGCUUAUGUUGCUUCUAAACUAGCACUGGGAUGUCUCCUAUUGGAACUAUUGAUUUCAGUUACCACAGCACUACAGCUUGUUUUGAACCAUCCCUGGAUUACAUUGUGGUGAAAAUAACAGUUGGGAUCUCUGCAAGUUUACCCAUGUUAGCAUUGAGAUUGGUAGCAGCAUGAAGAGGAGAAGUCAUGGCAGUUGAAGGAAAUUUGAGGAGGCACUGCAGAUAAGGAUGGUCAAUGAUAGUCUUGCCUUGGGUUUGAUCCUAAAUUCCUACAACUUAGAAAAGAGGAUCUCAAUCAUCGAACUGACAAGCAUAUUUUAGAGUAGCUGCUGCUUUGGACUCUGGUUGUUCCAUUGAUGAGUUGUACCAGUUAACAUGUAUUGAGAAAUGGUUCCUUUGCAGAAAGAAGAAUAUCAUUGACUAUAAUAAAAUGCUAGGAAAACAUGACCAAUAGGCACUGUCCCAAAUUCCAUCCUAUUAUGCUUUGAAAUGAAUCCAA